UUUCUGGGUGGUACUAACCUGGAAGCCAGCAAACAUUCCUCGCUUCAUUCUUAAGAAGUGAAGAAAUACAUCUGCAAAAAUAAACAGCUUGAAAAAGCUGAGCUUGCCAAAAAAAAUUAAAACCCAAAAUGUGUUUCCACUGGUUCCUCAAUAAUUUUCUUUAAUAAUGGAGAAAUCACUGUAAAAGCUAAUAAAUUUUAUAUUAGGGGCUGCCUCACUGAACAUAUAUGCCCCCCCCCCAAACACACACACACACACACACACACAAAAGUUGCUAACCUCCUCUUCUUGAUAGGAUAUACUGCCGAACAAGUCAGGAUACAGUCUCAAUUCUCAUGGUGCUUAGGUUCUAGAGAGAGAACACACAGAAAUACCCAACAGCAGUAAAUGCUAUGGAAAAUAGGGAUGAUGAAAAUAACUAGGCCUACUGAGAUGAGUCCAACAAAGUCCUCUGUGAGGAAGUGAUAUUUGAGGGGGGAACUGAAUGACAAGAACACAGCCAUGUGAAGAUGGAGAUUUCUCAGCUUGGAGUAGCAGCAAAGCAAAAAAGAUGGCCAGUGGAGCAGGUGUAAGGACCACAGAGGAAGAGUGAUAGCAGUUUAUAUAGCAGAGUCUUUUUGUUUCUAAAGACUGUAGGGGACAAUGAGAAUCUCCCUGGAACUUAGUGACAGCAGCUGAAGAAUCAUUAAUAACAACGUCCUCAACAUAAAGCACACCAUCAAAAGGGCAAACAGGCUAAGAGAUUCCACGAUUUCCCUCAAUUCACCCCCCCCACCCCCGCGGAGAAGGCAGCAAAUCUGCAAAAUUCCCCUCUCUUUCCACUUUUCUUCUCUAAAGUAUCUGAAAAAAGAUGGAAUAAAUAAGUGGAAAUCAGUCCAUUAACAUCUAAACCUUGCAAUAGAGCAAGGUCACUGUCAUGGGUUACACACACUGUUGUGCGGUUGAUGACCAUGGCAAUGAAGGAAAUUAAACCCAGGCCAUCACCUCAGUUGUUACCAAUGUGUUCCCAAACAAACAUACGUGAUCAUUCUGAACAACUUCAACAGCUUUACUGAAAGCACCCGGCUUUUGUACUCUCCCUUUGUAAGCAUUUAUAUUUAUUUUUAAUGACUAUGGUUGGAGGGAAUAUGAAUUUUUAAAAUCAAUCUUCCUAUCAGUACAGGCAAAGAAGUCAGCACCUUUCUAAAGAAAAACAAGCCUCUCAAAAGAAGUAAAAGAAAUGUAAUUAGAAAUGUAUUAAGGAUUAAAAGGCUGUUUUUAACUUGUUUCCUAAGAAACCAAAAAUAGACCUGACAAGUACAACUGCCAAAGCAGCUUAGAUCUACUUACACUAUUAUUAAAUUUUCCAGUUCAAAAUUUUUAGAAUCACUAAUUUAAGAGGUGAAAGAAAAGCUCUUACAUGAAAUAAAAUUAAGUCCCCAGUUAUUUGUGUUUGUGAUUCUUCUUCUAGUGAAAAAUUGACCUUCAUGAACAAAAAAAUUGCCAGGUUGCUCUCAAAGAGGUUAAUAAUUUAUUUUGCAACCAACAACCCAUUGUAAUUCUAAUAUAACCACAAAUGCCACCAUAGUCUGCAAACUUUGUACAAACAACAAGUUCCUGGCAAUUCAAUGUACUUAAUUUUAACAAGACAUGUAAAUUUGGUCACCAGACAUUAAAACUCUUAGUAGAAAGACAACAGUAAAGACAUUGCUCUGUAGCAGCAGCUCAUUCCACUCAGUACCUUCAGUAUGAGGAAGAAAUGUGUGACUAAAAAUUGAGGUCCUACAUUUAAAGCCCUUCUAAGUAGCUGUAAGGGAUGAAAAGGUCCAUACUGGGGCUGGAUAGAGCAGACCUGAAAGACCAGCAGGAAAUCUUGGGAGUAUGUGAUCAACUCAGGAGCCUAGGAAGCCACAUUCUCCCCACCAUUAAGCCAUAGAAGAGCAGUAAAAGCCUAGCCCUGAGUGAGAAUCCUCCUCCCACUUUCCCACUUUGCCAAUUGCAUUCCAUUCCAGGAGUUCCAGGGCUUCAGAUAAAGAAGGUCAAAAGACCAAGAGCAUAAAGCUUAUUUUCCUCUUGUCUGUCCAAAGCCCAACCACAGCCACGCCAAAUCCAAGCCGCGCCUGUGAC
rnacentral:lncRNA from 1 species